rnacentral:rRNA from 1 species
GAUGAACGCUGGCGGCGUGCCUAAUACAUGCAAGUCGAGCGAACGGACGAGAAGCUUGCUUCUCUGAUGUUAGCGGCGGACGGGUGAGUAACACGUGGAUAACCUACCUAUAAGACUGGGAUAACUUCGGGAAACCGGAGCUAAUACCGGAUAAUAUUUUGAACCGCAUGGUUCAAAAGUGAAAGACGGUCUUGCUGUCACUUAUAGAUGGAUCCGCGCUGCAUUAGCUAGUUGGUAAGGUAACGGCUUACCAAGGCAACGAUGCAUAGCCGACCUGAGAGGGUGAAGGGCCACACUGGAACUGAGACACGGUCCAGACACCUACGGGAGGCAGCAGUAGGGAAUCUUCCGCAAUGGGCGAAAGCCUGACGGAGCAACGCCGCGUGAGUGAUGAAGGUCUUCGGAUCGUAAAACUCUGUUAUUAGGGAAGAACAAAUGUGUAAGUAACUGUGCACAUCUUGACGGUACCUAAUCAGAAAGCCACGGCUAACUACGUG